rnacentral:rRNA from 1 species
UUUGGUUAAGUUUAGAAAGGGGCACCGGUGGAUGCUUUGACACUAGGUCGAUGAAGGACGGGACUUACGCGAAUGCCUUCGGGGAGCUGUAAGUAAGCUUUGACCGAAGAUUUCGAAUGGGGAAACCCACCAUACGUAAUGUAGGUAUCUCUUAUCUGAAACAAUAGGUAAGGAUAGACAGACUCCAGGGAACUGAAGACAUCUAAGUACCUGGAAGGAAGAGAAAAGCAAAUGCGAUUUCCUGAGUAGCGGGCGGAGCGAAACGGACAUAGCCCAAACCAAGAGGCUUGCCUCUUGGGUGUAGGACAUUCUAUAGCGGAGUUACAAAGGAACGAGGUAGACGAAGCGACCUGAAAGUCGUCGUAGAGGGUAACAACCCCCGUAGUCAGAAACUUCUUCUCUCGUUGAAUGUAUCCUGAGUACGGCGGAAACUACGUGAAAUUCCGUCGGAAUCUGGAGGACCACUCCAAGGCUAAAUACCCCUAGUGAUCGAUAUGUGCAGCAGUAACCGUGGAGGGAAAGGUGAAAAACCCAACUCCCCGGAAGGGGAGGAAAGAAGAUCUGAAGACGUGGUGCCCUACAAAUAGUCAGAAGCCCGUUUAACGGGUGAUGGCGUGCCUUUUGUAGAAUGACCGGCAGAGUUACAUCCCGUGCGAGGUUAAGCUGAAGGAGGCGACCGCAGCGAAAGCGAGUCUGAAUAGGGCGUGUAGUACGUGGAUCGUAGACCCGAAACAGGUGAUCGUACCCAUGUCCAGGGUGAAGUCAGGUAAGCACGGAAUGGAGCGACCAACGCACGUUGAAAAAGUGCGGGGAUGAGGUGUGGGUAGCGGGAAAUUCCAAUCGAACCUGAGAUAGCUGGUUCUCCCGAAAAGCUUUAGGGCUAUGCCUGUAAGUGAAGAGUCUGGAGGUAGAUGCAGCUGAUUGGAACUAGGGGUCUCAUCUGAAUUAUACCGAAAUUCAGUAAACUCCGAAUGCCAAUGACUUAUUCCUUAGGAGCCAGACUGCGAGUGAAAGAUCCGUAUGUCAAAAAGGGAAACACCAGACCGCCAGCUAAGGUCCCAAAGUGUGUAUUAAGUGAAAAGGAUGUGGAGUUGCUUAGAACAACUAGGAUGUUGGCUUAGAAGCAGCCACCAUUUAAAGAGUGCGUAAUAGCUCAGUCUAGUCGAGUGAUCUCUGCGGCGCAAAUGUACUGGGGCAAUACACCACCGAGCUGCGGAAAUUGAUACCAAUGUAUCUAGUGGUGAGGGGAGCGGUUCUAAGGACAGUGAAGUCAGACAGUAAGGAACUGGUGAGUGCUUAGAAGUGAGAAUGCGCGGUAUGAGUAGCGAUAAGACGGGUGAGAAUCCCGUCACCGAAUGCCUAAGGGUUUCUCUGGGGGCUCGUCGCUUCAGGGUUAGUCGGACCUAGAGCCGAGGCCGACAGGCGUAGGGAGGACAACAGUUGAUGAGUCCUGUAACACACCUCUUGUAUCGUUUGAGCAAUGGAAGGGACGCAGUAAGGAUAGAUAGAACGUGCGAUGGUUGUGCACGUCAAGGCAGAGGCUGAUAAGUAGGGCAAAUCCGCUUAUCCUAAAGGCUGAGCUGUGAUGGGAAGCGCCUUAUGGAGCGGAAGGUCUUUGAGUUCCCCGCUGCCAAGAAAAAGCUUCUAGCGAGAUAAAAGGUGCCUGUACCCGCAAACUCGAGCACAGUUAGGCGAGAAGAGAAUCCUAAGGUGUGCGAGAGAACUCUGGUUAAGGAAUCGGCAAAAAAUGACCCGUACUUUCGGUGAGAAGGGUGCUGUUCUUAACGGAAAGCUCGCAAGUGGAAUAGGCCAAGCGACUGUUUAGCUAAAAAACACAGCUCUUGCGAAGCCGUAAGCGAAGUAUAGGGCGUGACACCUGCCCCGGUGCUGGAGGUUUAAGGAGAGGGGUUAGCGUAAGCGAAGCUGCUGAUAAGCUGAAGCCCCAGUAAAUCGCGCGGCCGUGAACGUAUAACGGUCCUACAGGUAGCGAAAUUCCCUUGUCGGUAAAGUUCCGACCGCACGAAAGGUGUAACGAUUUGGCACUGUUCUCAACGCAGAGACUGGUGAAAUUAUAGUCCUUGGAAGAUGCUGGUUACCGCGCGACUAAGGACGGAAACCCCGUGGAGUCUUUACUGUACCUGAUAUUGAAGUUUUGGUACACUGUGUUUGUACAGGAUAGGCGGGAGCCCAUUGGAAACUGUGAGCCGCUAGCUUCGGUGAGGCGCUGUGUGGGAUACCGCCCUGACUGUAUUGAAAUAUCUAACCUAUCGGGUCCUUUAUCGACUGCCGGGGACAGUGUCAGUGGCGAGUUUGACUGGGGCGGUCGCCUCCUAAAGGUAAACGGCGGCGCCCAAAAGGUUGUCCUCAGAAUGGUUGGAAUCAUUCGUUAGAGUGCAAAGGGCAUAAGGGGAGCUUGAACUGCGAGACCUAACAAGGUCUGAGCAGGGACGAAUAGCUCGGGCGUUAGUUAAUCCGUGGUUCCGCAUCGAAGGGCCAUCGGUCAAACGGAUAAAAGCUACACCCUGGUUCCGUUGUAGCUUAUACCCCAGGGCUGGAGAUGGGUGCCGCAUGUGGCACAUAUUUCACGUUUUGUCGUCGUGGUCAUGGGGCCACCUGGGUUCUAAUGUAGACCUAGCGCAGGGAUAACAGGCUUAUCUCCCCCAAGACCACAUCGACGGGGAGGUUGGCACGUCGAUGUCGGGCUCAUCGCAUCCAUGGGCUGUAGUCGGUCCCAAGGGUUGGCUGUUCGCCACAUUAAAGCGGUAGCGCGACUGGGUUCAGAACGCGGGAAGACAGUUCGGGUCCCUAUCCGUCGUGGGCUGUAGGGGGAAAAAAAAGUUUGGGAGAAAGGGGAAGCUGUCCUUAGUACGAGAGACCGGAUGGACGCACCGCUGGUGUAACCAGUGGUUCGCCAAGGGCAUUAGCUGGGUAGCUAUGUCGGAAGGGAUAAGUGCUGAAAGCAUCUAAGCGGAAGCCCCCUCAAAUGAGAUUUCCCAUAGCGUAAGCUAGUAAGAUCCCUGUAAAGAUUGAUCAGGUUGAUAGGUUCGAGCUGGGAAGAAUGGGAAUGUGGGAGCUGACGAAAUACUAAUAAGAUAGAGGAUUAAACCAUA